GACGAACGCUGGCGGCGUGCUUAACACAUGCAAGUCGAACGGAAAGGCCCUGCUUUUGUGGGGUGCUCGAGUGGCGAACGGGUGAGUAACACGCGAGUAACCUGCCCUUAACUUUGGGAUAACUUCACGAAACUGGGGCUAAUACCGGAUAGGAGCUCCUGCUGCAUGGUGGUGGUUGGAAAGUUUCGGCGGUUGGGGAUGGACUCGCGGCUUAUCAGCUUGUUGGUGGGGUAGUGGCUUACCAAGGGUUUGACGGGUAGCCGGCCUGAGAGGGUGACCGGCGACAAUGGGACUGCGGUACGGCCCAGACUCCUACGGGAGGCAGCAGUGGGGAAUAUUGCACAAUGGGCGGAAGCCUGAUGCAGCAACGCCGCGUGCGGGAUGACGGCCUUCGGGUUGUAAACCGCUUUCGCCUGUGACGAAGCGUGAGUGACGGUAAUGGGUAAAGAAGCACCGGCUAACUACGUG
rnacentral:rRNA from 1 species